AUAAACCUUGUAAUAUUUCCUAAAUCUUAUAUAUUUCCUAUCACUUCCCUCCAUUCAUUAGAGCAAUCAAAAAUGUUACUAAACCUUGUGUCCUUACUAGUAGUCCUCAAAGGAGUCCAGUCUCAAGUGCAGUUGGUGGAGUCUGGAGGGGAUGUGAGAAGACCUGGAGGGUCCCUCCGUCUCUCCUGCCAAGCCUCUGGAUUCACCUUCAGCAGCUAUUGGAUGAGCUGGGUGAGACAGGCUCCAGGGAAAGGACUGGAAUGGGUUGCAAGCAUGGGUACAUCUAGCACUUACUACUCAGACAAAGUGAAGGGUCGCUUCACCAUCUCCAGGGACAAUGCCAAAAGCCAGCUGUAUCUGCAAAUGAGCAGCCUCAAAGCUGAAGACACGGCAGUCUAUUACUGUGCGAGAGGCACAGUGAGAGGAAGUGAAUCUGAAGCAAAGCAAAAACCUUCCUUUUUUCAGAGCAGUUCUUCAACUUGA